rnacentral:lncRNA from 1 species
UGACAGAUCCACUUGAAACAACCAUUUCAUACCUUGGAAAAUGGUAAUGGGAGGAAGUGAUCUCCUGAUCUCCAGCUGUGGUUCUGUGUGCUGCUCUGAUCCCACCGAUGACUGGAUUUGAGAGUAAAGCACGGUUGGUUCUGCCUCUGCCCUGUGUCGGAUUUCACCCUUCUGCCCUUGCUCUGAAGCCUUCUUUCUUGGACAGUAUGUGGGAACUGUAGCCACACAGAAAACUUGCAGGCUUUGCUUGGACAUACAUACCAGAUAUAGACCCACUCCUGCAGAUCUGUCUCCAUGAAUCCUCAUUUUUUUCAAGGUAAAUAAAAAAGAAAGAGAACUGCUGAUGAUAAUUCUU